rnacentral:rRNA from 1 species
UGGGGAAUAUUGCACAAUGGGCGCAAGCCUGAUGCAGCCAUGCCGCGUGUGUGAAGAAGGCCUUCGGGUUGUAAAGCACUUUCAGCGGGGAGGAAGGCGUUAAGGUUAAUAACCUUGGCGAUUGACGUUACCCGCAGAAGAAGCACCGGCUAACUCCGUGCCAGCAGCCGCGGUAAUACGGAGGGUGCAAGCGUUAAUCGGAAUUACUGGGCGUAAAGCGCACGCAGGCGGUCUGUCAAGUCGGAUGUGAAAUCCCCGGGCUCAACCUGGGAACGGCAUUCGAAACUGGCAGGCUAGAGUCUUGUAGAGGGGGGUAGAAUUCCAGGUGUAGCGGUGAAAUGCGUAGAGAUCGGGAGGAAUACCGGUGGCGAAGGCGGCCCCCUGGACAAAGACUGACGCUCAGGUGCGAAAGCGUGGGGAGCAAACAGG